rfam:Tetrahymena thermophila SB210 genomic scaffold scf_8254034, whole genome shotgun sequence.
UCUGAUGACAAUCUCAUUACAUGAAUCAUACAUGUUUAUAAAUUAUCCAUCUUUCGGCUGAAA